GGUCAAGCAAUAAGGGCACAGGGCGGAUGCCUUGGCACUAAGAGCCGAUGAAAGACGUGAUAAGCUGCGAUAAGCUUCGGGGAGGAGCAAAUAUCCCGUGAUCCGGAGAUGUCUGAAUGGGGAAACCCACAUGAGCAAACCUCAUGUAUCCUACAGCCAAUACAUAACUGUAGGAAGGGAACCCGGGGAACUGAAACAGCUAAGUAC
rnacentral:rRNA from 1 species